rnacentral:rRNA from 1 species
AGAACUUAGCAGAGAUGCUUUGGUGCCUUCGGGAACUCUGAGACAGGUGCUGCAUGGCUGUCGUCAGCUCGUGUUGUGAAAUGUUGGGUUAAGUCCCGCAACGAGCGCAACCCUUAUCCUUUGUUGCCAGCGGUUAGGCCGGGAACUCAAAGGAGACUGCCAGUGAUAAACUGGAGGAAGGUGGGGAUGACGUCAAGUCAUCAUGGCCCUUACGAGUAGGGCUACACACGUGCUACAAUGGCGCACACAAAGAGAAGCGACCUCGCGAGAGCAAGCGGACCUCAUAAAGUGCGUCGUAGUCCGGAUUGGAGUCUGCAACUCGACUCCAUGAAGUCGGAAUCGCUAGUAAUCGUGGAUCAGAAUGCCACGGUGAAUACGUUCCCGGGCCUUGUACACACCGCCCGUCACACCAUGGGAGUGGGUUGCAAAAGAAGUAGGUAGCUUAACCUUCGGGAGGGCGCUUACCACUUUGUGAUUCAUGACUGGGGUGAAGUCGUAACAAGGUAGGCGUAGUGCU